rnacentral:rRNA from 1 species
ACUGGGAGAGGACGUUCAAUACUGUCAGACUGGAGGGCGGUAGAGGGAGGUGGAAUUCCCGGUGUAGUGGUGAAAUGCGUAGAUAUCGGGAGGAACACCAGUGGCGAAAGCGGCCUCCUGGACCGCACCUGACGCUCAGACGCGAAAGCUAGGGGAGCAAACGGGAUUAGAAACCCCGGUAGUCCUAGCUGUAAACGAUGUUGACUGGGUGUUGGUGGGGUAAAAGCCAUCAGUGCCGAAGCAAACGCGAUAAGUCAACCGCCUGGGGACUACGGCCGCAAGGUUAAAACUCAAAGGAAUUGACGGGGGCCCGCACAAGCAGCGGAGCGUGUGGUUUAAUUCGAUGUUACACGAAGAACCUUACCCGGGUUUGACAUACAGGUGGUAGGGAACUGAAAGGGGACCGACCCU